CACAUAAACACAGAAACACACGGGGUGGGUCUUCGUCCUGCACUGUUAUUUAGCAGAGUGUGUGUUUUUCUUUGCUGUGUGUUUAGUAAUGGAAAGUCAAGCUAAAGCACUGUGGGGAUGGGGUUAUGCUAUGAGAAUGUUGCGGUUGGGUUUUAAGGAAAAAAACUGAGUGUGUUUGUCUUAGCUUUGGCACCGUUACACCUGGUAUGUGUGAGUGAUGGAAAAUGAUGUGUGUAGUCAUGUGUUUUUACUUGGUGCACCUGAGGAUACAGUAUUAGGAAGAAGUGAGAGUGACACUAUACAGAAGCCUUCAACUGUGCUCAGCAAAGCAGAGGAGGGGAGUGAGGAGAGAAAGACGAGAUACGUUCAAGUUUCAACGUAACUUUAUUUUCCAACAGGCAUAAUUUGGUUCACAGCUGGCAGUAGAAUGUAAAACCCAUCCAUCCAUCAAUCCAUCCAUCCAUCCAUCCAUCCAUCCAUCCAUCCAUCCAUCCAACCAACCAUAAAUCCAUGUUUUGUUAGACGUGUCACUGCUCUAAGUAAAAGUUGAGGAUGACUAUCUGCUGCUACCAGGCUAUAUUUAAUCCAAUACAUGUAGAUUUGACUGAGUCAUUGGUGUGUUUGCAAAGAUUGUUUAGCUGUAAGUGUUAGAAGCCUGGUUUUGGGUUGUGUUUUUGUUGUGUUUAGUUUGUUUGUGCAGAAAGUCUGGAGCUGCUGUCACUAGAGGGCGGAACUACUGAUUAUCACUCACACCUGCAGAUCCUCUCCUGCAAUCAUCCAGGGGAUAAACGGAGUUGGCUGUCAGUUCUCCGGUGCCUGAGUGUUUGCCUGCAAUGGCUUCCUCCACCACCUCCUGGUUCAUCUACCAGAGUUUCCCUGAGCCUCCUCGAGAACCCAAGAUCUCCUGGAGCAGUUCUGAAACUGACAGCUUCAAGGUCUUUGCCCACGGUCCGCACGGUAAUCUGUCCGCCCUCCAUCGCUCCAACUAUCUUGCUGCACUGCACUGACUUGUCUUUCACUCAACCACCCCCAACUGGUGGACGCUCCCUCACAACCCAAUGAUUCCUUUUCCCCGGGUCUCCAGCCCCAGAAGGAGAUUCUCAACUUAUUUGCUUUUUAUUUGUAAAUAAACCUUUUGAACUUU